UGUAAAGAGCGCGUACGUUUCAAGCAGC
rnacentral:piRNA from 1 species